GCUGGAGGGAAGCUUUCGCAUGGGACAAGUGAAGAGGUUAUGGGUGGGAUGGGUGGUGUUGUGAUGUGCGAUUGUGGGCACAAGGCAGUGGCGGAUCCGGGAGCAUUUCAACAAUGCGUCUAGUCGUCAAUAUGGCGACACGAACCAAUAGGGACGACUUCAUAACAAUACCCGGGGCCGAACCCAACGGUGGAACUCCGUUCUAUCCACUUCACAUAUCACGUCAAUAUUAUUGCAGUGCCCCUCCAUUGUCCAGUUAUCACCGCUUAAAAUAAUAAUGGGGGACGUUAUGUCUUAUAUAGUUGUCUCUCUUAGCCAGAUGGACAAUACUUGAAAUACCACGACAAUAAGAAGUCUUUUACGCUCUUGGGCGAGUAACGAGCUGUCAACUUCAUUAACGAAUGUUUUCUCAACAAAAUGAUGGGCUUGACAAGCGUCUACUGAAUUUUUCAAACAAGAUUUGUGAUCUUUUAGCUUUUUUCGGCAAAUAUUUAACACUGUUUAUAAAUAAAACUGCUGUUCCACAA